CUGUGACUUCCCAGGUCAGGCGGGACUACCCGCUGAGUUUAAGCAUAUCAAUAAGCGGAGGA
rnacentral:rRNA from 1 species